GUAGGGUGCGAGCGUUAAUCGGAAUUACUGGGCGUAAAGCGUGCGCAGGCGGAUUGUUAAGCAAGACGUGAAAUCCCCGGGCUUAACCUGGGAAUGGCGUUUUGAACUGGCAGUCUAGAGUGUGUCAGAGGGGGGUGGAAUUCCACGUGUAGCAGUGAAAUGCGUAGAGAUGUGGAGGAACACCGAUGGCGAAGGCAGCCCCCUGGGAUAACACUGACGCUCAUGUACGAAAGCGUGGGUAGCAAACAGGAUUAGAUACCCUGGUAGUCCACGCCCUAAACGAUGUCAACUGGUUGUUGGGGGAGUGAAAUCCCUUAGUAACGAAGCUAACGCGUGAAGUUGACCGCCUGGGGAGUACGGUCGCAAGAUUA
rnacentral:rRNA from 1 species